CCGAAAGCCUCUUGGCUGUUGCAUCUCCUGCACCUGGCUACUGAAAAGCAGCUGUGGCCUGUGACUAAUGGGAGCCAGAAGACAUGCUGAGGAGGGUGGACAAGCUAAAACUGUUUAGUCUGCUCGGCUGUGGGAACUGCAGGGAAGUAAAUACUGUGUCUGCUGACAGCUAUCAGUCUGUUUGACCCCCUUUUCAGGAGGAGCGAGGAAACUGGAGACAGUGAAACUGAGUUUGGAAAUUGCGGAGGAGGAGAUGAAGAGGAACGAGGGAGAGGCAGGCUGAUGGAUGUAGAGGGAGAGAUGAAGCAAUAGGCAGACGCUCUGAAACAACUGCCUCCAUCUCCAAAGCCAAUCAGGGGAGCUUUGAGACGCCAGUCGGGAGGACUGACAAUGGAGGAUUCACGCUGGGACAAAAAAAAAAAGAAAAGCCUAAAGCAGAUGGAUGAUGUAAAAGACCACAGCGAGCAUACAGCCCGGUGGCCCCUAAAGUCAAUGUUGUGUCUUCUGAUCCGUUUCAACUCCUUCUUGGCAUAUUUUUAUUUUUUCAGCAUGCCCUUAAUCUCACACUUAAUAUUCAUGACUUUGAAGUUAAUACGUGUGAAAUAAAGGUCCCUUCAAUUCACUGGAAAGUAAAA